rnacentral:lncRNA from 1 species
UUUCACCCUCCCCCUUUGAUAAUGGUCAAAUUAUCUCUUUAAUAAUUUUUUUUGUGGUUUUUACCUAUGCCUCUCAAUUUCAUUAUGAUUAAUACAAUAGAAUGCUUAACUGGGAGUGCAUUUGGCAGAUAAAUUAACUGCCAUGGACAGACCACUAUUAAAGUUUGAGUUAAUUCUUUUAUGUUUAUGUUUUUAUACUUUUUAAUUAAGAAAUGUUGUUCUCUUUAGGAUGCGUAUGGGACAGCUUUUAAAGUGUUUGAAAGAUUUUGCAUUCAACAUUCAGGCUAUCAGUGACUCCUUGAGUGAACUAUGUGAAAAUAAGCGUGACAAUGUAGUCCUGGCAUUUAAACAAUUGAGUCAAACCUUUUAUGAGAAACUUCAAGAAAUGCAAAUUCAAAUGAGUCAAAAUCAUUUAGAAUAACACCAUGGAAAACUUUCAAGUCUGAUUAUGUGGUAUUUAUCCCUUUGCAAGGAGAGAUAUAAUUAAGCUUACACAAUGAAAUGGAA